rnacentral:rRNA from 1 species
UACGGAGGAGGCAAGCGUUAUCCGGAAUUAUUGGGCGUAAAGCGUCCGUAGUUGGUCGUUUCAAGUCUGCUGUCAAAGACCGGGGCUUAACCCCAGAAAGGCGGUGGAAACUGAACAGCUAGAGAGAGGUAGGGGUAGAGGGAAUUCCCAGUGUAGCGGUGAAAUGCGUAGAUAUUGGGAAGAACAUCAGUGGCGAAAGCGCUCUACUGGACCUUAUCUGACAUUGAGGGACGAAAGCUAGGGGAGCGAAUGGG